rnacentral:rRNA from 1 species
UACGAAGGGGGCUAGCGUUGUUCGGAUUUACUGGGCGUAGAGCGCACGUAGGCGGAUCGUUAAGUUAGGGGUGAAAUCCUGGAGCUCAACUCCAGAACUGCCUCUAAUACUGGCGAUCUAGAGUCCGGAAGAGGUGAGUGGAACUCCUAGUGUAGAGGUGGAAUUCGUAGAUAUUAGGAAGAACACCAGUGGCGAAGGCGGCUCACUGGUCCGGUACUGACGCUGAGGUGCGAAAGCGUGGGGAGCAAACAGG